rnacentral:rRNA from 1 species
CCUACGGGAGGCAGCAGUCGGGAAUAUUGCGCAAUGGGCGAAAGCCUGACGCAGCCAUGCCGCGUGUGUGAAGAAGGCCCUAGGGUUGUAAAGCACUUUCAAUUGGGAGGAAAAGCUAAUACUUAAUACGUAUUAGCCCUGACGUUACCUUUAGAAGAAGCACCGGCUAACUCCGUGCCAGCAGCCGCGGUAAUACGGAGGGUGCAAGCGUUAAUCGGAAUUACUGGGCGUAAAGCGCGCGUAGGCGGUUUUUUAAGUCGGAUGUGAAAGCCCCGGGCUCAACCUGGGAACUGCAUCCGAUACUGGAUCACUAGAAUGCGGGAGAGGGAGGUAGAAUUCCAUGUGUAGCAGUGAAAUGCGUAGAUAUAUGGAGGAAUACCAGUGGCGAAGGCGGCCUCCUGGCUCGACAUUGACGCUGAGGUGCGAAAGCGUGGGGAGCAAACGGGAUUAGAUACCCCGGUAGUCCACGCCGUAAACGAUGUCUACUAGCUGUAGGGGUACUUGAGACCUUUGUAGCGCAGCUAACGCAAUAAGUAGACCGCCUGGGGAGUACGGCCGCAAGGUUAAAACUCAAAUGAAUUGACGGA